rnacentral:rRNA from 1 species
CAAUACUGUGGGUGGCGAGUGGCGGACGGGUGAGGAAUACAUCGGAAUCUGCCCAGUCGUGGGGGAUAACAUAGGGAAACUUAUGCUAAUACCGCAUACGACCUACGGGUGAAAGCGGGGGAUCGCAAGACCUCGCGCGAUUGGAUGAGCCGAUGUCCGAUUAGCUAGUUGGCGGGGUAAUGGCCCACCAAGGCGACGAUCGGUAGCUGGUCUGAGAGGAUGAUCAGCCACACUGGAACUGAGACACGGUCCAGACUCCUACGGGAGGCAGCAGUGGGGAAUAUUGGACAAUGGGCGCAAGCCUGAUCCAGCCAUGCCGCGUGGGUGAAGAAGGCCUUCGGGUUGUAAAGCCCUUUUGUCCGGAAAGAAAAGCACUGGAUUAAUACUUCGGUGUUCUGACGGUACCGGAAGAAUAAGCACCGGCUAACUUCGUGCCAGCAGCCGCGGUAAUACGAAGGGUGCAAGCGUUACUCGGAAUUACUGGGCGUAAAGCGUGCGUAGGUGGUUCGUUAAGUCUGAUGUGGAAGCCCUGGGCUCAACCUGGGAAUUGCAUUGGAUACUGGCGGGCUAGAGUGCGGUAGAGGAUGGCGGAAUUCCCGGUGUAGCAGUGAAAUGCGUAGAGAUCGGGAGGAACAUCUGUGGCGAAGGCGGCCAUCUGGACCAGCACUGACACUGAGGCACGAAAGCGUGGGGAGCAAACAGGAUUAGAUACCCUGGUAGUCCACGCCCUAAACGAUGCGAACUGGAUGUUGGGUGCAACUAGGCACUCAGUAUCGAAGCUAACGCGUUAAGUUCG